AGAACUAGAUCUUAACCUGUGAAGACGAGC
rnacentral:piRNA from 1 species